rnacentral:rRNA from 1 species
AGUGAACGCUGGCGGUAGGCCUAACACAUGCCAGUCGAACGGCAGCACAGUAAGAGCUUGCUCUUACGGGUGGCGAGUGGCGGACGGGUGAGGAAUACAUCGGAAUCUACUUUUUCGUGGGGGAUAACGUAGGGAAACUUACGCUAAUACCGCAUACGACCUACGGGUGAAAGCAGGGGAUCUUCGGACCUUGCGCGUUUGAAUGAGCCGAUGUCGGAUUAGCUAGUUGGCGGGGUAAAGGCCCACCAAGGCGACGAUCCGUAGCUGGUCUGAGAGGAUGAUCAGCCACACUGGAACUGAGACACGGUCCAGACUCCUACGGGAGGCAGCAGUGGGGAAUAUUGGACAAUGGGCGCAAGCCUGAUCCAGCCAUACCGCGUGGGUGAAGAAGGCCUUCGGGUUGUAAAGCCCUUUUGUUGGGAAAGAAAAGCAGCAGGUUAAUACCCCGCUGUUCUGACGGUACCCAAAGAAUAAGCACCGGCUAACUUCGUG